GACGAACGCUGGCGGCGUGCUUAACACAUGCAAGUCGAGCGGGAUCCAACCGGUGGCAACACCGGGGAAGAUCUAGCGGCGAACGGGUGAGUAACACGUGAGCAACCUGCCCCGAAGACUGGGAUAACACCGGGAAACCGGUGCUAAUACCGGAUGUCGUCAUUAGGCCGCAUGACCUGAUGAUGAAAGGAUUCAUCGCUUCGGGAGGGGCUCGCGGGCUAUCAGCUUGNGGUGGGUAACGGCCUACCAAGGCGACGACGGCUAGCUGGUCUGAGAGGACGACCAGCCACACUGGGACUGAGACACGGCCCAGACUCCUACGGGAGGCAGCAGUGGGGAAUCUUGCGCAAUGGGCGAAAGCCUGACGCAGCAACGCCGCG
rnacentral:rRNA from 1 species